UACGUAGGGUGCGAGCGUUGUCCGGAUUUAUUGGGCGUAAAGAGCGUGUAGGCGGCUUUACAGGUCCGUUGUGAAAACUCGAGGCUCAACCUCGAGACGCCGGUGGAAACCGUAAAGCUAGAGUCCGGAAGAGGAGAGUGGAAUUCCUGGUGUAGCGGUGAAAUGCGCAGAUAUCAGGAAGAACACCCGUGGCGAAGGCGGCUCUCUGGGACGGUACUGACGCUGAGACGCGAAAGCGUGGGGAGCGAACAGG
rnacentral:rRNA from 1 species